GGGGUUGUGACUCAGUGGUAGAGUGCUCGCCUAGCACGUGUGAGGCCCUGGGUUCGAUCCUCGGCACCA
rnacentral:tRNA from 1 species